rnacentral:rRNA from 1 species
AGUAUGACUCUCGGCAAUGGAUAUCUCGGCCCUCGCAUCGAUGAAGAACAUAGCAAAAUGUGAUACCUAGUGUAAAUUGCAGAAUCCCGUGAACCAUCGAGUCUUUGAAUGCAAGUUACGCCCGAGGCUGGCUGGCUGAGGGCAUGCCAGCCUGGGCAUCAUGC